rnacentral:rRNA from 1 species
UACGUAGGUGGCAAGCGUUGUCCGGAAUUAUUGGGCGUAAAGCGCGCGCAGGUGGUUUCUUAAGUCUGAUGUGAAAGCCCACGGCUCAACCGUGGAGGGUCAUUGGAAACUGGGGAACUUGAGUGCAGGAGAGAAGAGUGGAAUUCCACGUGUAGCGGUGAAAUGCGUAGAGAUGUGGAGGAACACCAGUGGCGAAGGCGACUCUUUGGCCUGUAUCUGACACUGAGGCGCGAAAGCGUGGGGAGCAAACAGG